rfam:Camelus ferus unplaced genomic scaffold scaffold2611, whole genome shotgun sequence.
GGGUGUAUAGCUCAAUAGUAAAGCACGUGCUUAGCAUGCGCGAGGUCCUGGGUUCAAUCCCCAGAACCUCUG